AUCUAUCUCACAGACUCCCUCCACAAUGUCCAACCAGUCAGGUAUUGAAGCCGGAAAGGAGCUCAUUCAAUCUUUCAGCAGGUUCUACCAAUCCGGAUCU
rnacentral:misc_RNA from 1 species